rnacentral:rRNA from 1 species
UACAGAGGUCCCAAGCGUUGUUCGGAUUCACUGGGCGUAAAGAGUGUGUAGGCGGUGCUCUAAGUUCGGUGUGAAAUCUCCCGGCUCAACUGGGAGGGUGCGCCGGAAACUGGGGUGCUGGAGCGCGGGAGAGGAAAGCGGAAUUCCUGGUGUAGCGGUGAAAUGCGUAGAUAUCAGGAGGAACACCUGUGGUGUAGACAGCUUACUGGACCACUUCUGACGCUGAGACACGAAAGCGUGGGUAGCAAACAGG